rnacentral:rRNA from 1 species
UGGGGAAUAUUGCACAAUGGGCGCAAGCCUGAUGCAGCCAUGCCGCGUGUAUGAAGAAGGCCUUCGGGUUGUAAAGUACUUUCAGCGGGGAGGAAGGGAGUAAAGUUAAUACCUUUGCUCAUUGACGUUACCCGCAGAAGAAGCACCGGCUAACUCCGUGCCAGCAGCCGCGGUAAUACGGAGGGUGCAAGCGUUAAUCGGAAUUACUGGGCGUAAAGCGCACGCAGGCGGUUUGUUAAGUCAGAUGUGAAAUCCCCGGGCUCAACCUGGGAACUGCAUCUUGUACUGGCAAGCUUGAGUCUCGUAGAGGGGGGUAGAAUUCCAGGCGUAGCGGUGAAAUGCGUAGAGAUCUGGAGGAAGACCGGUGGCGAAGGCGGCCCCCUGGACGAGGACUGACGCUCAAGUGCGAAAGCGUGGGGAGCAAACAGG